AAUAAAAUUGUUGACCCUAUUAAAAAGUCUGUGCUUCAAUGGUUGAAUGAAGGGCUCUCAUGUCGGCAAGUUGCAAAUUUAGCUGAAAUUUCAUUUGGACGAACUAUCAACUGUCUGCUGGCCUCGGGAGCAGUAAAAUAAGGUACUGAGGUUCAAAAGGAACUUAAGAUGACUUACGGAAAACAAGUUUCUCGUAUGACUGUACACCGCGAGUUGAAAAAACUAAGGUUUAAAGCCAGGCGCAAAAUUAAAAAACCUUUGCUUACUAAACGUCAGCAAGAACUACUUCUAAAAUUUGCUAAAGCGCACCGAAACUGGACUCCAGAACAGUGGGCGAAUGURUUUUGGACAGACGAAAGCAAGAUUAAUCUUCACGGGUCAGACGGAAUAUAUUACGUUUGGAAGAAGUCAUCAAAGACAAUUACCAGCCGCGAUGUCAUCCCAACACUCAAAUUUGGAGGCUUUUUUGGGGUGGCUUUUGUAAAAGUGGUAUUGGGGACCUAAUUUUAAUCGAGAGAAAUAUGGACACGAAUAUGUGUAUAGAUAUAUUAAGGCAAGAGUAUUUUUCUUCGUUGGAGAAAUUGGAUCUGGACAGUAGCAAAAUUGUUCUGAUGCAAGACAACGACCCCAAGCACAAAGCUAAGAAGGUUAUGGAGUAUCUUAGAAGUUAACGAAUUGAAACUUUGGAAUGGYCUCCUCAAAGUCCCGAUAUUAAUCCUAUCGAGAGCCUGUAGUUUGUGAAAAAAAAGGGUAUACAAUUAUGCCAGUCCACCGAAAACAAAGGCGGAAUUAUUUACUAGAUGUGUAGAAGUAUGGARCUCCAUCACUUAAAAAGAAUGUGAAGAUUUAGCYAAUAGCGUUCUCAAGCGGAUUGAAGCGGUGAUUACGGCCAACGGAGGCUAUACUAAAUAUUAAAGCGGUAAAAAUUACAUUGUAUCAAAAUUGAGAAUCGACAUUCGUGAUUUUAUUUGCUCAAUUGGAUUACGUACUGUAUAAAUGCAUUUGCACCAUGGCUACUAAUUUGGAAAGUAGUAGUGBGCCACAAAGCUCAAGUCGUGGUAGACUUAUCGUUUUAAAGGAGCCAUUUUUGCUUUGCUACUAAUAAGUGACUGCGGUCGCGGUGUCACUCUGUGUGCGCACAUUGAGGAGGAGGAGUUGAGUUGAGCCACUAAUCUGCUGUUACUGUUAUGUAAACAAAGCCACAGCUGAGAGGUAGAAACAUCAAGGGGAGUCCGGGGCUUAGUUUCUAUUGGAAUCCAAGAUGGCCGACUCUUAACCGGAAAAUGGUUGCAUUGUGUUAUUUUCUAAAAAUUAAUGGAAAA